CGAUAGCAGAGUGUUAACACCUGCGUCAGAGCCGCUCAGCUCCAGUUCACCUAGCCUGGAGUAGCUUGGAAAGCUGCCCCUACUACACCUACCUGGCCUUCAAGACGGUGCAGUUGGAGAGGAUCCGGCAAACAGACUCCUUGGAGAGGAUCCGAGCAAUUCUGAAUGUCACCAAACUGACAGACAUUAACCAGUUCCCUGAGACAUGACACCCUGAGAGCAGGAUUCUAACCUGCAUUAGGGGCUUUUAACUCAUCUUUAGAAUUACAUUAACUAUUAUUUAACUCAACAGAAGAAGUCAUAGCAGAGGAAGACUGGAGAAUUGCAAAUUCUUGAGAGAGAAGGCUGCUGUGUGCAGGGACAGCCAACACAUGUCAAAGGGAACACUAAUGAGAUACUGGACUUGGUUCCAACAGGUGUGGGAUCAGAUUUGGUGCCAGAAAAGUGCUGUUUCCUUCCAACAUGGAUUCUGGAACAUAUUUCCUGACAUGAAAGCAACUGCCCAAUAGUGUUUGGAAUUAAUAUUUUCUGUUCAUACAAACUGAGAGAGAGAAUUUUCUUUUUUCUGUUGUCUAGGGCUCGUCAGUAGCAGUGUUCAGCUAGCAGAGAGGUGUAGUGUGCUAUAUGAGUAUUUUAUAUUAAAAUAUGAAGUGUGA